UAGUGGUAAUAGGUGGUGGAGGCGAAUAAUACUUUUAGUAAUGACCACCUUUUAGAGCGCUGUGAUUGAUUUUAAAAAUUCACGAUUCACUUUUCAAAAAGUUGUCCAAACCGGAAGGAAAGCAUAUAUAUAGCUAAAAUGAAAAUUAUGUUUUUAUAUAAAAUUACUAUUAAAACAUUUAAAACAAUAUUUUUAAUGUAAAAGGUAAAAGGAAAUUGUAUAAAUAAAUAAUGAAAAUAAUUUAAUUAGAGCGAUAUCUGGUGGGUAAAGUGUGAACUAACAUGGCGUCUUUGCUCUUUGCAUUGCUAGUCUACCUUCUCAAUUGUGUAUUCCAUGCUCAAGAGAGAGACAACGCGCCAAGUCAAGCUCAUUUCGAAAAUGUCGUAAAAUUUUUAUCAUCGAAGUGUUUUAUUGAAUUGUUCUGACAGUUGGCAGUGUCUAAAGUCAUUUAAGAAGAAGAAGAGGAAGAAGUAUUUUAUUGUUAAUAUAGUGUUUUCAACAAUGAUAUUCUAUUCUGUUUGGACAAUGCAUACUGUUCUUCGUAGCAGGAGCACGUGCUUUCCAUUAUCAUUUCUUUGCAUUAUAGUGACGCAUCACAUGGAAGAUUUUCGACAGAGUUCGGAAGGGGAAGAAAAGUCAAAAAGGACAUAGAAGAAUUUUCGAAAAUGUAGGUACAAAAUUGAUAGGAAGAAACGCCAGAAGUAAAGGGAUGGAUCGAUGACUGUGGACACUGAAUGGCCAAACAUUCAACUUACUAAAGUAAAGUAGAGUUGAAAAUUUCAUUAAAUUUCCAAUACUAAAAUUUGGUUUUUAAUUUUUUUAUCAUUAAAAAGCACACAAUGAC